CACGUGUUAGCAUACCGCUGUUUUUAUCCAGGUGUAUUGAUUUGCUCUAAAUUAAGAUAAGAUAUCUUUUAGACAAAUUAAAAACAAAUUCUGCUCAUAAAAUAUGGUAGAUUCUCUUAUUGGAUGGUUCCAGGAAAUGACUAAUGAACUGGUUUAAAUGUUAUUUUAUUUAAAAAUUACAUAAGAAUAGAUCUUGAUUACCUAGGAGAUCUAGCCAGCAUUGAAAGG